UACGGAGGGUCCAAGCGUUAUCCGGAAUCAUUGGGUUUAAAGGGUCCGUAGGCGGUUUAAUAAGUCAGUGGUGAAAGCCCAUCGCUCAACGAUGGAACGGCCAUUGAUACUGUUAAACUUGAAUUAUUAGGAAGUAACUAGAAUAUGUAGUGUAGCGGUGAAAUGCUUAGAGAUUACAUGGAAUACCAAUUGCGAAGGCAGGUUACUACUAAUAUAUUGACGCUCAUGCACGAAAGCGUGGGGAUCAAACAGG
rnacentral:rRNA from 1 species